AGUGAACGCUGGCGGUAGGCCUAACACAUGCAAGUCGAACGGCAGCACAGUAAGAGCUUGCUCUUACGGGUGGCGAGUGGCGGACGGGUGAGGAAUACAUCGGAAUCUACUUUUUCGUGGGGGAUAACGUAGGGAAACUUACGCUAAUACCGCAUACGACCUACGGGUGAAAGCAGGGGAUCUUCGGACCUUGCGCGAUUGAAUGAGCCGAUGUCGGAUUAGCUAGUUGGCGGGGUAAAGGCUCACCAAGGCGACGAUCCGUAGCUGGUCUGAGAGGAUGAUCAGCCACACUGGAACUGAGACACGGUCCAGACUCCUACGGGAGGCAGCAGUGGGGAAUAUUGGACAAUGGGCGCAAUCCUGAUCCAGCCAUACCGCGUGGGUGAAGAAGGCCUUCGGGUUGUAAAGCCCUUUUGUUGGGAAAGAAAAGCAGCAGGUUAAUACCCCGCUGUUCUGACGGUACCCAAAGAAUAAGCACCGGCUAACUUCGUG
rnacentral:rRNA from 1 species